rnacentral:rRNA from 1 species
AGAGUUUGAUCCUGGCUCAGGAUGAACGCUGGCGGCGUGCUUAACACAUUCAAGUCGAACGAAGAAGAUCGGAGCUUGCUCCGAUCGGAUUAGUGGCGGACGGGUGAGUAACGCGUGAGUAACCUGCCUGCGAGAGGGGGAUAACAACGGGAAACUGUUGCUAAUACCGCAUAACGCAUCGAUUCCGCAUGGAGAUGAUGCCAAAGGGAAACCGCUUGCAGAUGGACUCGCGUCUGAUUAGGUAGUUGGUGAGGUAACGGCUCACCAAGCCGACGAUCAGUAGCCGGACUGAGAGGUUGAACGGCCACAUUGGAACUGAGAUACGGUCCAGACUCCUACGGGAGGCAGCAGUGGGGAAUAUUGGGCAAUGGGCGAAAGCCUGACCCAGCAACGCCGCGUGAGGGAAGAAGGGUUUCGGCUCGUAAACCUCUGUCCUAUGGGACGAAGGAAGUGACGGUACCAUAGGAGGAAGCCCCGGCUAACUACGUGCCAGCAGCCGCGGUAAUACGUAGGGGGCGAGCGUUGUCCGGAAUCACUGGGCGUAAAGGGCGCGUAGGCGGUCAGAUAAGUCAGUGGUGAAAACUGGGGGCUCAACCUCCAGCCUGCCACUGAUACUGUCAGACUUGAGUAUGGAAGAGGAGAAUGGAAUUCCUAGUGUAGCGGUGAAAUGCGUAGAUAUUAGGAGGAACACCAGUGGCGAAGGCGAUUCUCUGGGCCAAGACUGACGCUGAGGCGCGAAAGCGUGGGGAGCAAACAGGAUUAGAUACCCUGGUAGUCCACGCCGUAAACG